rnacentral:rRNA from 1 species
CAGCAGCCGCGGUAAUACGUAGGGUGCGAGCGUCAAUCGGAAUUACUGGGCGUAAAGAGCUCGUAGGCGGCUUGUCGCGUCGGAUGUGAAAGCCCGGGGCUUAACUCCGGGUCUGCAUUCGAUACGGGCAGGCUAGAGUGUGGUAGGGGAGAUCGGAAUUCCUGGUGUAGCGGUGAAAUGCGCAGAUAUCAGGAGGAACACCGGUGGCGAAGGCGGAUCUCUGGGCCAUUACUGACGCUGAGGAGCGAAAGCGUGGGGAGCGAACAGGAUUAGAUACCCGAGUAGUCCCUGUCUCUUAUAC